UACGUAGGGUGCAAGCGUUGUCCGGAAUUAUUGGGCGUAAAGAGCUCGUAGGCGGUUUGUCACGUCUGCUGUGAAAACUCGGGGCUUAACUCCGGGCCUGCAGUGGGUACGGGCAGACUAGAGUGCGGUAGGGGGAGACUGGAAUUCCUGGUGUAGCGGUGAAAUGCGCAGAUAUCUGGAGGAACACCGGUGGCGAAGGCGGCAUCCUGGACCAACAUUGACGCUGAGGAGCGAAAGCUAGGGGAGCAAACGGG
rnacentral:rRNA from 1 species